AGCAGCCGCGGUAAUUCCAGCUCCAAUAGCGUAUAUUAAAGUUGUUGCAGUUAAAAAGCUCGUAGUUGAAUUUUAGGCCUGGCCAGGCGGUCCGUCUUUGGCGAGUACUGUCUUGUUGUCGGGUCUUCCUUCUGGUGAACCAGUAUGCCCUUUAUUGGGUGUGUUGGGGAGCCAGGACCAUUACCUUGAAAAAAAUUAGAGUGUUUAAAGCGGGCUAUUGCUUGAAUAGAUUAGCAUGGAAUAAUAGAAUAGGACGCUGUGGUUCUAUUUUGUUGGUUUCUAGGACCACCGUAAUGAUUAAUAGGGAUAGUUGGGGGCAUUAGUAUUCAAUUGUCAGAGGUGAAAUUCUUGGAUUUAUUGAAGACUAACUAUUGCGAAAGCAUUUGCCAAGGAUGUUUUCAUUAUCAAGAACGAAAGUUAGGGAUCGAAGACGAUCAGAUACCGUCGUAGUCUUAACCAUAAACUAUG
rnacentral:rRNA from 1 species